AGACAACACACACUAGAAUGGCUGUUUAGCUCAAGAAGGGAAUUGGGUGAAGAGGUAACUCAAUAUGCCACGGUGCUUCCUGGGAAAUUCUCCACACGUAUUAGAGCCGACAUAGCUUCCUCUAUAGGCUUGUCGAGCCGGCACUGCGAUUCCUCCCAUGGAUCCAACGAUGUCGGGGUCUUAGGACUAGCGGAUGUUCAGUUCAGAGUUACGUUUGGCCGUAUAUACUGUAUUUUUUUUUUAAAAAUUUCAUACUUUUGGUACUGUUUUAAACCGCAUGGACAUUUUUGUGUGCAACUACAUUCAGCGUGCUGCUGCCUGUCUUGGCUGGGACGCUUAUAAAAUAGACUUUUAAUUUCCACAAGGCUUUUUCUCUGAAAUACACUAAAUGGGCAGUUAUUUUAUUUAGCUGUCGAUU